CUCACUUCUCUGUGAUUUGCCUAAGAGAAAAAAUGAUGUCUGUUCUUACCAGUUGACUAUCUGAUAUGUCCUGUAUCAAAGGAUAAUGUAUUAAAUGGAUUUUUAGAAAUAGAAAGUAGAAUACGAGCUUGCUCUAUCUAUACCAUGAAUUGACCUAGUAUUGCAGUGCCUCCAAGAGCAGUGCACCCUCC